UAAACUGACUUCGUUACCGACAUUACGACGCCAUUUUGUCAAUAAUAUGGUAGUUUAAAAAAAAUCUGUUGCUCUUUUUAUAAGCGAUUUUGCAGGUGAAGACUGUUUGAUGUGAUAAUCUUGUAAUUAAAAAUGAAUCGAAAAGAAAUCAGUAAAGGUGACCAACCUACUUUUGAGAACAAAGAUGAAGAGGUGGAGUAUUGGAAAAACCUUGCGACGCAAUACUUGGAUGACAUUGAUCGUUUACAAAAAGAAUCAGAUGAAUUCGUCAGCGAAUCUCAACAAUUGGAACGUGAAUAUGAGGCUACAAUUGAGCAAAACGAGAAGAAAAUCAAAGAAUUAACUCUGGCAAAUAAUAGAGCUUUCAAUGAAAUAGAAUCACUUAGAGUAAAAUUAGAUCAGAGCAAUAAACAAAAUCAAUCCUAUCAAACCGAAAUCGAGAACUUUACGAAAGGAAAAGGCGAAAUGUCGCGCUACAUACGUGAACUCGAACAGAAAAACGACGACCUUGAGCGGUCACGACGGAUUAUUGAGGAAUCAAUCGCAGGUAUUGAGACGGCUUUCCACAAUGCCAUUGAACGAAACGCGAUUCUUGAGUCGGAAAUCGACGAAAAAGAGAGUCUCAAAGAAAAACUUCAGCGAUUGGCUGAUGAAACUAGAGAUCUGAAACAGGAACUCCUAGUGAAGGAAAAAUCCCUAGAUAAUGAACGACCCGUCAACGGAUUUAGAUCAAUGCCUAUUGUUGACUCAAACAGACUUAAAGAAAUCGAGACUCAAACCACCCCAAUUAAAAAAGAUCAGAUACCCUAUCAAGCCUCCAUAACACCAGCAUCUCGCGUAAUGGCUUUGAACAUCGUUAGUGAUCUAAUCCGAAAAGUCGGGCUGUCUCGUUUCCUUUGUUCACAAUGUGGUCGAUAUAAAUGUACAGUUUGUCCGCCAACGGCCGUUAAUCCCACCAAUACCACACCGAGGGUCUAGAACGCAGAUUGGAGAAGAGUCGAUACGAUUACAGGGAUAUCGGAUCCAGUGAUUUAAGGAGUCGACAUUCGGCGAAAAACAGUCCGGCACCAAGCAUUCAAGGUUUAUCAAAAUGAGAAUUAAUAGGUGUUUUAGGUACGUCUGGCUUAAAAACAAAAACUCCAUGUCCAGUAUUAUUGAUUUAAUUUUCUGUUUUAUGUACGUAUAAAAUAUAUAUCGAGCGAAAAAGUGAUCUUAUCUCAUUACUUGGUGAUAUUAUUUAAGUCAGUAGUUCCUUUAACAUUUUGUAAGUAAUUUUUGGUGAUAAUUUUGCUAGUUAGGUCAUGUUUUUCCGCUUAGUUACAAUUCCUUUAAUAUGUAUGUAAAUAUCAUUGUGAAUAGCGUGUGACUGGUUUUGUCUCCCUUUUAAAACUUGUUUACGUCAGUAAAUGACGUAAAUUAAGAUUUUUUUACCCUCAAUUUCCCGAAAUAUAUUUUUUCACAUAGUUAAUAGAUUAAUUUAAAACGGGUUUUGCGUUUUGUUAAUUUAUUCAAUUACUAAUAAUUAGGUACAAAUUUUAUAUUUUUAAUUGUAUAUUCCAUUAUUUAAGGUGCAAAUAUUUAUUAUUGUCUAACAGGAUACGAAUAAAUCAGUUAAAGUAA